GCCGCCAUAUAGGGAAUGGAAUGCGGGGGCGGGGCCCGCAGCCGCUGCCUAAACCAGGUCACCUCUGCCGGGAAAGCCGGAAGGGUGGGGAGAGUCGCGACUUGCGGACGGGAAAUACGAUAACGGCUGGGGCGGAGUGGGGACGGCAAAGACCUGGACUCCUGCCUCAGGGGCGGGGCGGGAUUGACGAAGCCCUUGUGUGGCGGGAGUCCCUGCGCGUCCCUGCAACAAACCCUUGACGUUCCUCGGUGAGGCGAACCCCAGGCUCUGUCGGGGGGUGAUUUUUUUUUUUAUUUUCUCUCGAUUAUAAGUAAUACGGUAAGCGCCGUCGUCCCGGUGCCAGCUCCCGGUUGGCUCUGCGGAUGUCCCCGUUUGGGAGCGCCCCGGGGUGAAGGGCCGGGCUAUGCGGAACCACUGUGAAUCAGUUGGAUUGCGAUGAAGGCACCGCGUCUGCCCAGAUAUGUUGAGGGUCUCUCGGGAUCCCGCUGGCGCCGCCGUUUCCCGCAGCACAGAGCGCCGCUCACGCCUCCGCCGCUCCUGGAACACCGCACGGAAGUGCCUCAUGGCAAGGAACAGGAGUAGCAAGCAGCCCACACCGCCUUCCCUUGCGCAGAGGGGCUCUUUGGUGUUCGUGUCACUGCGGAGCAACCAGCGUUUUUGUUUCAGUUUUUUAAAAAUAAAUACUUUUAAUAUUUUGAA